GAUGAACGCUAGCGGCAGGCUUAAUACAUGCAAGUCGAGGGGCAGCAUGAUUGUAGCAAUACAAUUGAUGGCGACCGGCAAACGGGUGCGGAACACGUACACAACCUCCCAAUAAGUGGGGAAUAGCCCAGAGAAAUUUGGAUUAAUACCCCGUAACAUAACGAUGUGGCAUCACAUUGUUAUUAUAGAUUUUUCGCUUAUUGAUGGGUGUGCGGCUGAUUAGAUAGUUGGCGGGGUAACGGCCCACCAAGUCUACGAUCAGUAGCUGAUGUGAGAGCAUGAUCAGCCACACGGGCACUGAGACACGGGCCCGACUCCUACGGGAGGCAGCAGUAAGGAAUAUUGGACAAUGGACGCAAGUCUGAUCCAGCCAUGCCGCGUGAAGGAUUAAGGUCCUCUGGAUUGUAAACUUCUUUUAUAAGGGACGAAAAAAGGCUUUUCUAAGUCGUCUGACGGUACCUUAUGAAUAAGCACCGGCUAACUCCGUGCCAGCCGCCGCCGUAAGAC
rnacentral:rRNA from 1 species